rnacentral:lncRNA from 1 species
CCCACCUCAAAAACGUCACUUCCGCCCAUUUCCACCCUCAAAUCCCCACUUUGGACUAUUUUCACCCUCAAAAAUUCUACUCUUUUCACCCUCAAAACUCCACUUUUGAGUAUUUUCACCCUCAAAAUUCUCAACUAUUUUCAGCCCCAAAACUCCACUUUCGAUUCUUUUCACCCCUCAAAACCCCGCUUUCGAGCAUUUUCACCCUCAAAACUCCCGUUUUGGGUGUUUUCACUCUCAAAACUCCGCUUUCAACUAUUUUCACCCUCAAAACGACACUUUGGAGUAUUUUCACCCCCAAAACUCCAGUUUCACAUAUUUUCACCCCCAAAACUCCCCUUUUGAGCAUUUUCACCCUCAAAAUUCCACUCUGGAGUAUUUUCACCCCCAAAACUCCAUUUUCACAUAUUUUCACUCUCAAAACUCCACUUUCAUGUAUUUUCACCCUCAAAACUCCAGUUUUGAGUAUUUUCACCCCCAAAACUCCAGUUUCACGUAUUUUCACCCCUAAAAUUCCACUUUCAGGAAUUUUCACCCUCAAAACUCCAGUUUCACCUAUUUUCACCCCCAAAACUCCCCUUUCGAGCAUUUUCACCUUCAAAAUUCCACUGUUGAGGAUUUUCACCCCCAAAACUCCACUUUCACAUAUUUUCACCCCCAAAACUCCAUUUUCACGUAUUUUCACCCCCAAAAUUCCAGUUUCAACUAUUUUCACCCUCAAAACUCCACUUUCAUGUAUUUUCACCCUCAAAACUCCAGUUUCACCUAUUUUCACCCCCAAAACUCCCCUUUCGAGCAUUUUCACCCCUAAAAUUCCACUUUCAAGUAUUUUCACCCCCAAAACUCCAUUUUCAGGUAUUUUCACCCCCCAAAUUCCACUUUCAUGUAUUUUCACCCUCAAAACUCCAGUUUCGAGUAUUUUCACCUCCAAAACUCCACUUUUGAGUAUUUUCAUGCUCAAAACUCCCCUUUCACACAUUUUCACCCCCAAAAAUUCCACUUUCGAGUAUUUUCACCCCCAAAAUUCCAGUUUCAACUAUUUUCACCCCCAAACUCCCCUCUCCCAUCCCGCCCCGUUUUCUCCCUCGUUUCCUGCUCGGCCGAGGGAAAACCCUUCAUUUUUUGGGAAAAAAUGAGA